GACAGAGGAUGCAAGCGUUAUCCGGAAUGAUUGGGCGUAAAGCGUCUGUAGGUGGCUUCUUAAGUCCGCUGUCAAAUCCCAGGGCUUAACCCUGGCCAGGCGGUGGAGACUACUAAGCUUGAGUACGGUAGGGUCAGAGGGAAUUUCCGGUGGAGCGGUGAAAUGCGUAGAGAUCGGAAAGAACACCAAGGGCGAAGGCACUCUGCUGGGCCGACACUGACACUGAGAGACGAGAGCUAGGGGAGCAAAUGGG
rnacentral:rRNA from 1 species